rnacentral:misc_RNA from 1 species
GAUGAAGAACGUAGCGAAAUGCGAUAAGUAAUGUGAAUUGCAGAAUUCAGUGAAUCAUCGAAUCUUUGAACGCACAUUGCGCCCCCUGGUAUUCCGGGGGGCAAGCCUGUCCGAGCGUCAUUACAACCCUCAAGCUCAGCUUGGUAUUGGGCCCCGCCGACCCGGCGGGCCCUAAAGUCAGUGGCGGUGCCGUCCGGCUCCGAGCGUAGUAAUUCUUCUCGCUCUGGAGGUCCGGUCGUGUGCUCGCCAGCAACCCCCAAUUUUUUUCAGGUUGACCUCGGAUCAGGUAGGGAUACCCGCUGAACUUAAGCAUAUCAAUAAGCGGAGGA